rnacentral:tRNA from 1 species
ACCCUGGUGGCUCAGAUGGUAAAGCAUCUGCCUACAAUGCAGGAGACCCAGGUUCAAUCCCUGGGUUGGGAA